rnacentral:lncRNA from 1 species
CCCUCACCUCUCAGAGAAAUACAAUAUCAGUGUGGACGUAGCCCAAACAUUGGGGUGAACCACGAUACAUCUUGUGUUAUUUACAUUUCUGCAGAUUUACGGUCGGAUUUACUUUGUUCCAAGACAUCCGGUUUUGUGCUUCAAUAUUUGACGCCGUCUGUGGGAAUCGACACAAAAAGCUAUGUUGGUUCUCUUUCAUUUUUUCAUCUCACCACCGUGAAACUGCAGACACCAAGAACCCAGAAAACCUCACUCUUUAGGGCUUUUCUAGAAAACCUUCGCAGAAUCUGCGCAGUUUUAAAAAAUCCACCCAACAUACCUUAAGAAGCACAAAGACUCUCUGUACCUGUUCAAUAUCAAGUCAAAAGCAGAAUAAGGGGCACCAACUUUCAAAAAGCAUAUACAAAAAGCCCCAAACUUUCGUUUCACACGGCCACAACCAAAUGGAUCCACCUCCACUACCGCCUCUCCCCACCAGUCACCACCACUGCAACUACGACAGCCACUAGCAUGCAACUCAAUUACCCCGACUCCGUGGACUCCUCCCCUCGCUCCUGCAACGCCGACACCUGGGAUGACCCUCUCCUUCAAGUCCCCGGCGCCAAGCUCCGCCUCAUAUGCAGCUACGACGACCACAUCCCCUGCCCCCAUGACAAGUCCCUCUGCUACGUUGGUGGCGAAACUCGCAUUAUUGUCGUCGAGCGCCACUCCAUUCUCUUUGAUCUCUGCUCCCGCCUCUCACGAACGCUCUUCAACGGCCGCCGCUUCUCCCUUAAGUACCAGCUCCCCAACGAAGACCUUGACUCCCUCAUCUUCGUCACCACCGAUGAAGAUCUCGACAACAUGGUCGAAGAAUACGACCGCACCGCCUCCGCCUCCCCCCACAAACCCUCCCACCUUCGACUGGUCACAAGGAGAGAGUUUGGGUUUCCUACCUGGGAUCGCCUACAAGUUUCCUCCGUGAGCAGGCCAAACAACCCCUCACUUGCUGCCUCAAUCGCGGCCUUUUCAAAGCAGCUACAAACUUUGGCGCUUUUCAAUUUCUGAAAUUUCAGAACCAAAAAAGAAGAGGAAGAAAGGACUUGCUAGAGAGAGAGAGAGAUGGUGAACAUGGAGGAUAACUUCCUUGAUUUCGAGUCAGAAGACCCAUUUCUCACUAGCCCUGCCGUUACCAAAAGAAGGAGGAAGACUAUUGGGUUGGAUGAUUUUUUGACUGACUUCUACAAGGAAGAAGACAAGAUUGUUGAAAAGGAAGCUAAGCAUGCAAAAGCACGAAGGAACAAUGAGUCAGAUGAAGAAGAUAAUGACAAAGAGGCUACUCUCUUUGACAUUGUCGAUAAGUGUGAAAGCGAGGCAUGUUAACUCUCUUGUUUUGGUCUUUUCUGGUGUUAUUUGUGUACUGCUCUCCUUUUCAAAAACAAAGGAGGAAAUAAUAUGAUUCCAACUGGUCACAAGAGUUUGGGUUUUCCUACUUGGGAUCGUCUGCAACAAGUUUCCUCCGUGAGCAGGCCAAACAACUCCUCACCCGUUGCCUCAACCGCGGCCGAGCUCACCUAAUGGUCACUCCUACCUCGCCUUCUUCGGCGCCGAAGUCAUCACCUUCACAAACCACUUCACAAACCAGAUUCCAUCUCCUGUGAAUACCACGAGCACUAGUGGAAAACAGGAAGAAGAUAAGUUUUCUUACAAUAUUUCUAUUAUUAUUCUCCUUUGUGUUGUCUGCCAUAUGCCAAAAGAAAUAAGAUAAAAAGAAAGAAAAACAAAGAAAAAGGAAAAGGAGGUCUGUAGCUGAUGCCAAAGCAAAAGCAGAAAAGAGGUGAGUCCCAUUGGAGCGGGGAGAUCAAGAAAAGCAGAAAAGCAAAAGUAAAGCAGAAAGCAAAAGAAGAUAAAUAAUUGCGGUGGGGAUGACAUGCAAAAAAGGAAAUUAUGGGCGUGACCCAUUGAGCAGAGGAUUAGAUUUAUUUUUGAAUGAUGUAAUUUAUUUUUCGUAUCUUUCGGAGAUAUCUGUAUAACCCCAUCAGAGGGUAAUAAUAAAAAAAUAAAAAAAAAAAAACAGCAAAAAUUGGUUGGAAUGUUGUACGGAGGGCGAAGGCCUAUAAGCCCAAAAUAGCACCAACCAAGUGAUCAAAAGUACGUCCAGUACCACAAAAAAUUAUUCGGCACCCUACUGCUAUUAUCAUCAACCAGGUGAUCAAAAGUACGUCCAGUACUUCAAAAAUUAUUCGGCAAUCUGCCGCUAUUACCACCAACCAGGUGAUCAAAAGUACUUCCAGUACUCCAAAAAAUUGUUCGGCAGCCUGCCUCUAUUAUCACCAAUCAGGUGAUCAAAAGUACAUCUAGUACUUCAAAUUAUAUAUGAGCAUUACUCAUGUCAAUCAUACAUAAACAUUCAUGAGCAUUACUCAUGUCAAUCAACAUAAACAUUCAUGAAUAUCACUCAUGUUAAUCAGCUUCAAAAGCUUCAUUUACAAAAGCUCUAGCUUCAAAAGCUUCAUUUACAGAGCUCCAGCUUCAAAACUUCACUUGCAAAGCUUCACCUAUAAAGCUUCAGUGCAGGGUAUACAAAUAUCGCCUCUGAACAACCGCCACUUCGAUCCAUACAUGGAUUCAGUUUGAAGUCUCCAGCCAACAAACUCUAUUGACCGAAUACUUGGGGGACUACAUUAUGUACCAUAUAUUGGGCAUCAACUGGGUCUCAUGAAAAAUACAAAAUACUUGGGGGACUUAGCCCAUCACUUAUGUAUAGAGGAGCAAGCCCUUAUUCUAUAAAAGGGACUCUCUCACCAUCAUUACAGAGCAUCAACUCUAGCCCAUCAUUCAUGUAUCGAGGAGCGAGCCCUUAUUCUAUAAAAGGGACUCUCCCACCUUCAACGCCACAAUCCGAGCCAACCAAGGUAACAUAAACCACGAGUCGAGUAGCCUCGCAGCAUGUGCUACUUCUAGUUGAGCAUCAUUUCAGAUUGAACACCGCCUCAUAUCGAACAUCAAUUCAAGACAACAUCUAGUUACUUCGGCUCACACAUGGACUGAAUUUCAAGUCUCCAGCCAAAAGACUCUCUUGACUGAAGACUUGGGAGACUACUGUUUAUACCAUAUUUAGGGCCUCUGUAUUUAUAUCUCGUACAAAUACUCGGAAGAUUUAACUGUAAUUAUGUAAUAAAGGAAGGGGCAAAUAUGUAAUAAGUGAGGAACCCUUAUUCUAUAAAAAGACUCCUCAUCCUCAUAAUUAGAGGAGGCCAUUUUCUUAGGCCAUGGGAAGGACUCUCACCCUCAGAAGCUCUCUCCCUCACUCCCCUCACCUCUUAGAGAAAUACAAUAUCAGUAUGGACGUAGCCCAAACAUUGGGGUGAACCACGAUACAUCUUGUGAUAUUUACAUUUUUUGCAGAUUCACGGUCGGAUUUACGUUGUUCCAAGACAUUCGGUUUUGUGCAUCAACAUGUUUAAUUGGUUUAUAGCUGGAUUUAAUAUAAUUAACUGUAUACGAGGUGGGUCUUUAUGGGACUUUCUAACUUUCAUAUGACAAUGACUUUAAAUUUUGUAUAUGGAUUGUUUCUUCUCAAAAAAAAAAAAAAAUUUGUAUAUGGAUGAUAGUGUUGAACUGAUGUCUACACCAUCGUAGUUUCAUAUUUGCAAUUAUGCAUUAAACAUGGUGUCUUUAGUUGAUAGACGCAUAUUAUGCACCUUGUUGGGUUUCCACAUAGCAAACGAAGUUGGGACAAGCAAAAUAAUAUGGCACGCACUUAGCAAUCGGUUAGGCACAAGUCUUGACGUGAAUAAGUUUGUGUUGGGGUUUUACAGAUUUAAUUGUAAGAAAUGGCCGUAUUUUCCGUUUAUAUCACUGAGACAAUUUGUUCGUAUUGUAUGCUUUUCAUUAAUCUUUAUUAGAAAGUAUACAGAAAAACAAGCAGAUACUUAUUUACAACGAGUCUGACCAUGUACGUUCUAUUAUUCCAG